rnacentral:tRNA from 1 species
GGUUGCAUAGUGUAGUGGUUAUCACUCCAGAUUUUGAUUCUGGUAACCCCGGUUCGAACCCGGGUGCGACCU